rnacentral:rRNA from 1 species
ACGAACGCUGGCGGCGUGCUUAACACAUGCAAGUCGAACGGAAAGGCCCUGCUUGCCGGGUACUCGAGUGGCGAACGGGUGAGUAACACGUGGGUGAUCUGCCCUGCACUUCGGGAUAAGCUUGGGAAACUGGGUCUAAUACCGGAUAGGAGCCAUCUUUAGUGUGGUGGUUGGAAAGUUUUUUCGGUGUAGGAUGAGCUCGCGGCCUAUCAGCUUGUUGGUGGGGUAAUGGCCUACCAAGGCGGCGACGGGUAGCCGGCCUGAGAGGGUGUACGGCCACAUUGGGACGGAGAUACGGCCCAGACUCCUACGGGAGGCAGCAGUGGGGAAUAUUGCACAAUGGGCGCAAGCCUGAUGCAGCGACGCCGCGUGGGGGAUGAAGGCCUUCGGGUUGUAAACUCCUUUCGCUAGGGACGAAGCUUUGUUGUGACGGUACCUAGAGAAGAAGCACCGGCUAACUACGUG